GAGUGAACUAGCUAACUGAAAUCAUAAAAUCAUUAAUAGUGGUAAUAUGAUAACGUAAGGAUAAAAAAAAGAUAUAACCUUACUAUUAGUGUUGUCCAAAGUUGGUGCCAGAAGACUCGGUAAGGCCAAAGACGCAAACGUUAAUCGUCCUAAUCAGGCGUAAAGGGUAUGUAGGCUGCUUUGAAAGUUUUAUUUAUACUAGCUCUUUUUCUUUACAAAUAUAAAAAGAUAAUAUAAAAUGAAUUAAAGCUAGAAUCAUACAGAGGAUAAACCAAAUAAUACUUAGAGUAGGGAUGAUAUCUUUAGAUACUAAGGGGAAUACUAAGGGUGAAAGCUAUUUAUCUACUAAUGAUUGACGCUGAGAAACGAAGGUGAGAAUAGGAAAUAGGAUUAGAUACCCAGAUACCUCUCACUGUAAACGAUGAAUGGUGGUUGUUAGUAAUAAUAAAACUAGUAACGAUGUUAACACGAUAACCAUUCCGCCUUGCGAGUACGGUUGCAAAACUGAAACCAAAAAAAUUAGUCGGUCUCGGAGCAAACGAAGUGAAGCAUGUUAUUUAA
rnacentral:rRNA from 1 species